rnacentral:lncRNA from 1 species
UAGGGUGAGGUGUAGUCUGGUACAGAUGUCUGUAGCUGAUGGGGUGAGGUGUAGUCUGGUAUAGAUGUCUGUAGCUGAUAGGGUGAGGUGUAGUCUGGUAUAGAUGUCUGUAGCUGAUGGGGUUAGGGUGAGGUGUAGUCUGGUAUAGAUGUCUGUAGCUGAUGGGGUGAGGUGUAGUCUGGUAUAGAUGUCUGUAGCUGAUGGGGUGAGGUGUAGUCUGGUAUAGAUGUCUGUAGCUGAUAGGGUUAGGUGUAGUCUGGUAUAGAUGUCUGUAGCUGAUGGGGUGAGGUGGUCUGGUAUAGUUGUCUGUAGCUGAUAGGGUGAGGUGUAGUCUGGUACAGAUGUCUGUAGCUGAUGGGGUGAGGUGUAGUCUGGUAUAGAUGUCUGUAGCUGAUAGGGUGAGGUGUAGUCUGGUAUAGAUGUCUGUAGCUGAUGGGGUUAGGGUGAGGUGUAGUCUGGUAUAGAUGUCUGUAGCUGAUAGGGUGAGGUGUAGUCUGGUAUAGAUGUCUGUAGCUGAUGGGGUGAGGUGUAGUCUGGUAUAGAUGUCUGUAGCUGAUGGGGUGAGGUGUAGUCUGGUAUAGAUGUCUGUAGCUGAUGGGGUGAGGUAUAGUCUGGUAUAGAUGUCUGUAGCUGAUGGGGUGAGGUGUAGUCUGGUAUAGAUGUCUGUAGCUGAUGGUGUGAGGUGUAGUCUGGUAUAGAUGUCUGUAGCUGAUGGGGUGAGGUGUAGUCUGGUAUAGAUGUCUGUAGCUGAUGGGGUGAGGUGUAGUCUGGUAUAGAUGUCUGUAGCUGAUGGGGUGGGGUGUAGUCUGGUAUAGAUGUCUGUAGCUGAUGGGGUGAGGUGUAGUCUGGUAUAGAUGUCUGUAGCUGAUGGGGUGAGGUGUAGUCUGGUAUAGAUGUCUGUAGCUGAUGGGGGUGAGGUGUAGUCUGGUAUAGAUGUCUGUAGCUGAUGGGGUGAGGUGUAGUCUGGUAUAGAUGUCUGUAGCUGAUGGGGGUGAG